UACGUAGGGGGCAAGCGUUGUCCGGAUUUAUUGGGCGUAAAGAGCGUGUAGGCGGCCAUACAGGUCAGCUGUGAAAACUCGAGGCUCAACCUCGAGACGCCGGUGGAAACUGCAAAGCUAGAGUCCGGAAGAGGAGAGUGGAAUUCCUGGUGUAGCGGUGAAAUGCGCAGAUAUCAGGAAGAACACCCGUGGCGAAGGCGGCUCUCUGGGACGGUACUGACGCUGAGACGCGAAAGCGUGGGGAGCAAACAGG
rnacentral:rRNA from 1 species